UGAGACAGGUGCUGCAUGGCUGUCGUCAGCUCGUGUUGUGAAAUGUUGGGUUAAGUCCCGCAACGAGCGCAACCCUUAUCCUUUGUUGCCAGCGAUUCGGUCGGGAACUCAAAGGAGACUGCCGGUGAUAAACCGGAGGAAGGUGGGGAUGACGUCAAGUCAUCAUGGCCCUUACGGCCAGGGCUACACACGUGCUACAAUGGCGCAUACAAAGAGAAGCGACCUCGCGAGAGCAAGCGGACCUCAUAAAGUGCGUCGUAGUCCGGAUCGGAGUCUGCAACUCGACUCCGUGAAGUCGGAAUCGCUAGUAAUCGUGGAUCAGAACGCCACGGUGAAUACGUUCCCGGGCCUUGUACACACCGCCCGUCACACCAUGGGAGUGGGUUGCAAAAGAAGUAGGUAGCUUAACCUUCGGGAGGGCGCUUACCACUUUGUGAUUCAUGACUGGGGUGAAGUCGUAACAAGGUAACCGUAGGGGAACCUGCGGUUGGAUCACCUCCUUACCUGAA
rnacentral:rRNA from 1 species